UCAAUGUAAAAUUUUAAGGCAAGGUCAGCACAAGAUGUAUCUAUUUCUUCAAUUUCUACGAUAAGUAAACAUUAGUAGCUCAUGCAGCAAUACUAGCUAGCUCUGUACAUAUGAAUUAGCGGUUUCGUAAAUCCGAAUGGAUAUGAGCACUGAUUCAGUAUAAUUUCCUGAUGAUCUUAGAUGCUGGAAAAAUUGCAUUCGUCUCUAUGCUAUGAUUGCUAACACUGUUAAGAAAAGGAAGAGGAAUUAGUAAAAAAAAUAAUUCAAGUUUACUAUGCUAAAGAAAAGGGUGGGAACCAGUUGAGCUUUUUUUAUUUGAGAUAGAAACAUUGUUCUUCCCCUUCUGCCUAUUUCUAAAUUGCAACAUGAAUCAACAACAAUGAGCAUGCAGUGCAGGUAAGAAAACAGAGACUUUAGCAAUUUUGGUGAGUAAUCUGAUUUCAUAUUAUACUUUUGUGUAUGAUAAUACAUUAUUAUACAUACCUUACGAAAAUCAUAAUGACGCGUCUUCUAAUUGGGGAGGACGUGCACCAAAUAAAUAGAGAAAAGUAUAAUAAGACCUGUGGAUCUGUGGCUGUAGAUGUUAUCCCCUAAAGAGUCUUCUGCGGAGGUAUGCUCACUGAUCAUAAAGUCUUUCAGCAAUUCAGCUAUAAUGGUCAUAUGACUUGUGGACCUGUGGCUGUAGAUCUUAUUUGCGGAAAUAGUCCUUUGUAUAGUUAUAGUAGUUAGUGGUUUCCUUACUUGUCGCAGGUUCCAAAUGGAGUUGCUGGGCAUUUCCUCCUUGGACUCGUGUACAGGAGAGUGGGACAUUUCAGAAGAACUAGAAAAUGAAUUUUCUGGAAAUUAUGAUGGAAUGAAAAAAUGCAUUUGUUUCGUAGGAGAAGGAGAGGCAACUAUGUAGAAAAUUGUUAACAAGCUAAACAAACAAACUAUAGAAUGACCACAACUCCAAGCUUGAGACGAAGAAAGACCUGCAACUUUUCCCUCCAAUCUAUUGACCUCUCUCUGCAAUUCCUCGGGAUUUCCCUGGCAGUCACGUGGCUUUUGAGAAGAACUAUCAGUUGAAUCACCAAUCGACUGGAAAUAAAGGCGCCCGACAUUUGCGUUUGUGCAGGCUUGUUUGCAUAUAGGACAACUCCUCUUCUUCGAAUUGGGACAGUACUCAAACCAUUGUUGUAAGCGAUUUUCAGCAAAUACAAAAUGUCAGAUUCUCUACUA